CCCUGGAUUUUGUCUACUGGAAAAUCUGCUCCUGGAUGGCUACAGACACUAUCAGCUUUAGAAGAAAACAAGGAGCUCAGCAAUGUGUGUUCAUCAAGCUUGGUAGAGGUGGAUGACCCACUUGAGUCUGUGAGGACACUAUUCACAUCUCCUGACAAGAAGAGAGCCAAAAUUUGUGGUGGGAGCUGUUAAAUUACCACUCGUAACAUCUUUGUGUCUUAAAUUAGUCUUCUGAAAGCGGUGGACACUCUGGCUUCCCUCAGCAUCAGAGCCCUUCAACUCCUACAACUUGUGACCUGCCAAUUUCUUCUUUGUUUCCCCUUAUUCUUGAAGAAAAUUUUACUUAGCAGGGAGUAGUAGGAUUGGCUAGAACAGAAAUUUUUAGGUGAGAUUUUCAUAAUCACCUCAUAGCUGGUUUGUAUCAUCAUUAAUAUGUUUGCUCAUAGACUCUUUCAACUGUAGAAGUUGAAGGAAAUGGCUUGCUAUCCCACAAAUAUACCUUUUUCUCUGUAGAUCAUGUUCGAUUUAUGUUCUUAACGAAAUCGAGGCGGACGAGGGGAUUACGAUUGGGAGAUGUGGAGGCCGAGAGGAGCGGGAAUCAUGGUUUUUGUUGGGUUGAGAUUAUCUGCUUGGAAUAUGAACGUUGAUUGAUGUUUGUGGAUAGAUAAAUUCACUUGGAUCAUUUAUCUUCAUUCCAAUAUUAAUCUUUUAGUUUUGCUGUUUUUCA